rnacentral:rRNA from 1 species
GGUUAAGCGACUAAGCGUACACGGUGGAUGCCCUGGCAGUCAGAGGCGAUGAAGGACGUGCUAAUCUGCGAUAAGCGUCGGUAAGGUGAUAUGAACCGUUAUAACCGGCGAUUUCCGAAUGGGGAAACCCAGUGUGAUUCGUCACACUAUCAUUAACUGAAUCCAUAGGUUAAUGAGGCGAACCGGGGGAACUGAAACAUCUAAGUACCCCGAGGAAAAGAAAUCAACCGAGAUUCCCCCAGUAGCGGCGAGCGAACGGGGAGCAGCCCAGAGCCUGAAUCAGUGUGUGUGUUAGUGGAAGCGUCUGGAAAGGCGCGCGAUACAGGGUGACAGCCCCGUACACAAAAAUGCACAUGCUGUGAGCUCGAUGAGUAGGGCGGGACACGUGGUAUCCUGUCUGAAUAUGGGGGGACCAUCCUCCAAGGCUAAAUACUCCUGACUGACCGAUAGUGAACCAGUACCGUGAGGGAAAGGCGAAAAGAACCCCGGCGAGGGGAGUGAAAAAGAACCUGAAACCGUGUACGUACAAGCAGUGGGAGCACAGAGCAAUCUGUGUGACUGCGUACCUUUUGUAUAAUGGGUCAGCGACUUAUAUUCUGUAGCAAGGUUAACCGAAUAGGGGAGCCGAAGGGAAACCGAGUCUUAACUGGGCGUUAAGUUGCAGGGUAUAGACCCGAAACCCGGUGAUCUAGCCAUGGGCAGGUUGAAGGUUGGGUAACACUAACUGGAGGACCGAACCGACUAAUGUUGAAAAAUUAGCGGAUGACUUGUGGCUGGGGGUGAAAGGCCAAUCAAACCGGGAGAUAGCUGGUUCUCCCCGAAAGCUAUUUAGGUAGCGCCUCGUGAAUUCAUCUCCGGGGGUAGAGCACUGUUUCGGCAAGGGGGUCAUCCCGACUUACCAACCCGAUGCAAACUGCGAAUACCGGAGAAUGUUAUCACGGGAGACACACGGCGGGUGCUAACGUCCGUCGUGAAGAGGGAAACAACCCAGACCGCCAGCUAAGGUCCCAAAGUCAUGGUUAAGUGGGAAACGAUGUGGGAAGGCCCAGACAGCCAGGAUGUUGGCUUAGAAGCAGCCAUCAUUUAAAGAAAGCGUAAUAGCUCACUGGUCGAGUCGGCCUGCGCGGAAGAUGUAACGGGGCUAAACCAUGCACCGAAGCUGCGGCAGCGACACUGUGUGUUGUUGGGUAGGGGAGCGUUCUGUAAGCCUGCGAAGGUGUGCUGUGAGGCAUGCUGGAGGUAUCAGAAGUGCGAAUGCUGACAUAAGUAACGAUAAAGCGGGUGAAAAGCCCGCUCGCCGGAAGACCAAGGGUUCCUGUCCAACGUUAAUCGGGGCAGGGUGAGUCGACCCCUAAGGCGAGGCCGAAAGGCGUAGUCGAUGGGAAACAGGUUAAUAUUCCUGUACUUGGUGUUACUGCGAAGGGGGGACGGAGAAGGCUAUGUUGGCCGGGCGACGGUUGUCCCGGUUUAAGCGUGUAGGCUGGUUUUCCAGGCAAAUCCGGAAAAUCAAGGCUGAGGCGUGAUGACGAGGCACUACGGUGCUGAAGCAACAAAUGCCCUGCUUCCAGGA